UAAGGAGUGUGUAACAACUCACCUGCCGAAUCAACCAGCCCCGAAAAUGGAUGGCGCUCAAGCCCGCCGCCGACAGUUCCCCGGAACUGUAACUGUGGGAGGGCACAAGAAACACAGUUCCGUGUAGGGGUGCGUGGAGGCAAAGCUGCGAAGCCUUUGGCGUGAGCCUGGGUGGAGCUGCCUCUAGUGCAGAUCUUGGUUGUAGUAGAAAAUAUUCAAGUGAGAUCCUU
rnacentral:rRNA from 13 species